rnacentral:rRNA from 1 species
AACGAACGCUGGCGGCAGGCUUCAUACAUGCAAGUCGCGCGAUUAAACCCAGCAAUGGGAUAUAAAGCGGCGAACGGGUGAGUAACAGGUGGAUAAUCUGCCUUUUGGUGGGGGAUAACGGCUGGAAACGGCCGCUAAUACCGCAUGUGGUUGCGGGUGCCAUGGCAUCUGCAAAGAAAGGGGCUGAAAGGCCCCGCCAAGAGAUGAGUCCGCCCCCCAUUAGCUAGUUGGCGGGAUAAUAGCCCACCAAGGCUGUGAUGGGUAGCCGAGCUGAGAGGUUGAUCGGCCACACUGGAACUGAGACACGGUCCAGACACCUACGGGAGGCUG